UACGAGUGCUCCAAGCGUUAUCCGGAAUUAUUGGGCGUAAAGGGUGUGUAGGCGGUUGUGUUAGUCUUCUGUUAAAUUCUUCGGCUUAACCGGGGGCAUGCAGAGGAAACGGCACAACUAGAGGAUGCGAGAGGUGAAUGGAACUCAUGGAGUAGGGGUGAAAUCCGUUGAUAUCAUGGGGAACACCAAAUGCGAAGGCAAUUCACUGGCGCACUCCUGACGCUGAGACACGAAAGCGUAGGUAGCGAAUGGG
rnacentral:rRNA from 1 species